CCUACGGGAGACUGCAGUGAGGAAUAUUGGUCAAUGGUCGGGAGACUGAACCAGCCAAGCCGCGUGAGGGAUGAAGGUACAGAGUAUCGUAAACCUCUUUUGUCAGGGAACAAAGGCGGGGACGUGUCCCCGGCUGAGUGUACCUGAAGAAAAAGCAUCGGCUAACUCCGUGCCAGCAGCCGCGGUAAUACGGAGGAUGCGAGCGUUAUCCGGAUUUAUUGGGUUAAAAGGGUGCGCAGGCGGUCUGUUAAGUCAGCGGUCAAAGCCCGGGGCUCAACCCCGGCCCGCCGUUGAAACUGGCAGUCUCGAGUUGGAGAGAAGUAUGCGGAAUGCGCGGUGUAGCGGUGAAAUGCAUAGAUAUCGCGCAGAACUCCGAUUGCGAAGGCAGCAUGCCGGCUCCACACUGACGCUGAGGCACGAAAGCGUGGGUAUCGAACAGGAUUAGAUACCCCUGUAGUC
rnacentral:rRNA from 1 species